rnacentral:rRNA from 1 species
GACGAACGCUGGCGGCGUGCCUAAUACAUGCAAGUAGAACGCAGUUGCGAACGGGUGAGUAACGCGUAGGUAACUGCCUGGUAGCGGGGGAUAACUUUUGGAAACGAUUGCUAAUACGGCAUACUACCAGAUGGACCUGCGUGGUAUUAGCUAGUUGGUUAGUUAACGGCUCACCAAGGCAACGAUACAUCGCCGACCAGAGAGGGUGAUCGGCCAGACUGGGACUGGGACAAGGCCCAGACUCCUACGGGAGGCAGCAGUAGGGAAGCUUCGGCAAUGGGGGGAACCCUGACCGAGCAACGCCGCGGGAGUGAAGAAGGUUUUCGGAUCGUAAAGCUCUGUUGUUAAGGAAGCGGUACUUAACCAUAAAGUGGCGGCUAACUACGGGCCAGCAGCCGCGGUAAUUC